rnacentral:tRNA from 1 species
GCCCUGGUGGCAAAACAGUUAAGCACUUGGUUGCUGACUAAAAGGUAGGUGGUUUGAAUCCACUCAGUGGCU